UGCAUGUGUACUGUGCAAGCUUAGCUUUAUUGCUGGGAAUAACAUUUCUUCUUCAUCUUCAGUUUAGGAACUCUUUAUUCCAAAGGCUUCAUUCCAUAAUGUUUCUCCUUGGACUUUGCCUUUGCUUUAUACCACUUUCCUUGGGAAACAGUCCUUAUUUUGCUGAGAAUAACUUAGCGGAGAUAACAAUGACAAAUGAAGACAAAACUCAAUCUCGAGUUCCAAGGCAGGCUUCCUUCUUGAAGAGAAGAGUAAGAGAAACAAAACCACAAGUCGCUGAAUUCAGUGUGCAGUCCACUAUUAUGUCACGAUAUGCUUUCACAGCGGUCUCUUGCACUAUGGUGAAUCGAGCAGCUGAGGCCAAAGAAGGUGUUUUCCAGAUGCUGAUUCCAGCAGCAGCUUUUGUCUCAAAUUUUACCAUGAUUGUUGGAGGGCGAACGUACCAUAGUGAAGUCACUUGGAGGAAACAAAUGGCUAAAGAGGGCAAUGAACUUGGGAGUGAUAAGAUCCUUGGCAAUGGAGACAAUGGAGAUAAUGGCAUGGAAUUAUUUAAAGCCUCUGCAAGCAUUCCUGGACGGAACAAGGCGGUAUUUCUUUUGAUGUAUGAGGAGCUCCUACAGAGGCGUCUUGGAAUGUAUGAGCAUACCAUCAGCAUCAAGCCACAGCAGCUAGUGGGACGCCUUUCCGUAGAGGUGAACAUAUUUGAAAACUCUGGAAUUACUGCUUUAGAGGUUCCUCCUCUCCGCAACAAGCAGAGAAGUAAAAACACUGAUACAAUCUCUCCUCCACCCUCCACAGCCAUCAACCAGACAAACAACUUUGCAAGGAUCACUUUUAAUCCCAGUGUUGUUCAUCAAGCAAAACUUUCUCAGAAUGGAAUUUUGGGUGAUUUUGUUAUUAGAUAUGAUGUACAAAGAGAACUCAGUGUGGGAGACCUGCAGGUUUUGAAUGGAUACUUUGUGCAUUAUUUUGCACCUACAAAUCUACCUCCUCUGCCAAAGAAUGUGGUGUUUGUGAUUGAUACAAGUGCAUCUAUGUUGGGAAACAAAAUGAAACAGACCAAGGAAGCCCUAUUUACCAUUCUUAAAGACCUUAGACCUCAAGAUCAUUUUAACAUUAUUGGCUUUUCUAAACGAGUCAAAGUAUGGCAGCAAAAUCAGAUGGUAAAAGUCUCUCCCAACAAUAUCAGAGAUGCAAAGAAGUUUAUUUACAGCCUUUAUCCCACAGGAGAAACAAAUAUCAAUGAAGGUAUCCACGUUGGUGCCCAGCUUCUUAACAAUUAUCUUGCAAGUAAUGGAAAACAUGAGAAGAGUGUGUCUCUAAUGAUAUUUCUGACGGAUGGAAGAGCAACCAUCGGUGAAAUAGAGUCUCCAAAAAUCUUGGGCAACACCAAGAAUGCCAUCCAGGAAAAGUUUUGCCUGUUCAGCAUUGGUUUUGGUAAUGAUGUUGAUUUCAAUUUGCUGGAGAAACUGUCCCUGGAGAAUUGUGGUAUGAUGCGACGGAUACAGGAGAAUGAGGAUGCCGCUUCUCAACUUAAAGGAUUUUAUGAUGAGAUUGGAACUCCAUUAUUGUCAGACAUUCGUAUUGAUUACCCGCCAGAUAGUGUACAAUACGUCACUCAGAAUAUGUUCUACAACUAUUUCAAUGGGUCAGAAAUAGUAGUUGCUGGAAAACUAGUAAACCGAUCCUCAGAGACUCUCCAUGUUGAAAUCACUGCAAGUAAUGGAAAUAAAUAUGUUGUCCUAGAAGCUGACAUAAAAUUAGAAGGUGUUGGACAAGCUGAAAUGAUUGGAUCAGAGGUCAUUGAGGACAAUAAGGAAUACAAAAACCACAUUGAAAGGUUGUGGGGCUAUCUGACAUUUAAGGAGCUUUUAACAUCUUGGCAUAAAAGUGAUACCAUCAAGGACAAAGAAGAAAUAAUGGACAAAGCCAGUAAGCUUGCUCUGCAUUACCAUUUUGUGACCCCUUUUACACUACUGGAAAUGAAGGAUUCUGGGUUUCAAGCAGAUCUUCCAAAAGAAGAGUUAACCAGUCUAUCCAUGGAUGGCAUUGGUCAUAAACUGCUUAAUCUUCAGGGAAAGAAAGCUCCACAAGGCAUUACAGGGUCUUCCCCUAGGAAGACAAGCAAGCAAAAUACAUCUGUAUCCAAAACAUCAGCGGAUGGGGAUCCCCAUUUUGUUGUUGAUUUUCCAUUGAACAAGAUGACCGUUUGCUUCAAUAUUGAUGGCGAACCCGGUGACAUCCUUAGGUUGGUGUCAGACCAUAAAAACUCAGGAGUAACAGUAAAUGGGCAGUUGAUAGGAGCACCAGCCCCUCCCAACGGGCAUAAGAAGCACAGAACCUACUUCAGCAGGAUUACCAUCAUUCUCAACAAGCCAAAACGAUCUUAUAUAGAGAUUACCCCAUCCAAGGUCAUUCUGGACAGCAAGGACAGACUUAUUCUAUCAACCGAUAAGAGCACUACAGUAAAGGGCGAAGAUCUGGUGAUUGCAGUUCUCGCCAACUCCAACAUUACUGUAACAGUUCAAGGCACCAUCAGCUUUGUAAUCCUGGUUCAUCACUAUAAAAACCCAGCUCCAUACCAAAGGAAUCACUUGGGAUUUUACAUUUCUAACAGCAAAGGACUGUCGUCCAAUUCCCACGGGCUUCUAGGUCAGUUCCUGUAUAAUGAAGUUAAAAUAACUAAAGUACCUCUACAAGCUACCAACCAGACUUCUGAUGCUGCGACCCUGCUGAGUGUGAGAAAUCGCUUAGUUCCUGUAAUUAGAAAACAAAGAAAGAUAUACAAUGGCCUUCAUCAGGUGGACUGUUGGUUUGCAAAGAAUAAUGCAGCCAAAUUAAUUGAUGGAACAUACCAGGACUACUUGGUGUCCCAUCUCUUUGACUGUGGGAGUGAUUUAAUAACAAAUGAAGUGUAAAAACAAAAUUUACACAGGACAUUUCGUAUACAUUCCCAUUUACAUAUACUGAGCAAAAAGAGAACACUAGACCCGGACAUUUUCAGUAAACACAACUUGUAUUAUAUUACAGUGCAAUAUUCUGAUGGGAUUAUUUAACAAAAAAAUGGCUUGUUUAAUAGCCAGUCGUUAUCUUGUACAGAAUGCAGAGUGUUCCCUUACUGUAUUAAUGCAAUGUACAACUGACUUUUGUAUUUGAAGAUAUUUUUAUAAUCAUUCCACCGUGCGUUUUUUAUGUAUCUUUUAACAACAAAACAUUAAAAUGUAUAUACAGGUAUGUGUCUGAGGUUAAAUAGAACCAUGUGUUUAGCAUUUUCAUAAACAUAUUAUUGGUAUCAUUAUCCUUUACUGAUGAGAAUUUCACAGCAAAUCCAUGCCUAGGGAAAAAAUGUGCUCAUCACUAUUAUCCUUUAAAUAGCACUGAAACUUAUAUAUACGUGGCCACUGUACCCAGGUGACAUACAUGAGCAGUCACUUAAUACUCUCUAGCUUGUAUAUCAAAGAUUUUAUACAAUUAAAGAUGUAUUAAGGUCCUGUUCUGCAAAACAUUUAGUUUAACGCAAUGGGGCUGUCUAUUUCACAAAAAGGGUCUUUGCACGUAUGGAGCAGUGACAUAUAAAUAAUAAAUCAAGUAGUAGCUAUGGCACCAGCAAUUAACUGCAGCUAAUAAAGCAUACACACCUAUUUUAUUAUUAACAAGUAUUUAUAAAGCUCUAAUGUAUUCUGCAGUUGUGUGCAAUAGGAGUGUGUAUACUUAUCUCUAGGUUUUAUUUUAUGGAAAUAUUAAAGGUUUGCUGCCAUCAGAUAAAGAUUCCCAUUCGAUAUAAUACAAUCUAAUAUUUACACAAGCUUUAUUAGUUUUCUGUUAUUUUUUUUUAUUCAGAGUAACUUUUAUCAAUUUAUAUAGUCCAUAAGCUCAGGGGCCCUGACACACGUGGGCAACUUCUUUGUGAGGUAACUCUGGGCAACAUAAGAGAAAGCAUAAAUGACACAGGUUUUCCCAUCAGCAAUUUACAUUAUCACGGGUGGAAAGGCAUUUGAUGGAGAUUAGUUGCCUGCAAUAGAGGAGAUUUGGUGGAGGUGACAAAUUUCUUAAUCUGUCAUUGCCUUUACUGUUAAGUAAGCCACAGCAACUGUAGUAAAUUUGAAAGAGCCAUUGCCAUGUUUUGCAAUUCAUGUUUCAAAACAAUAGGCAAAAAGUAUGUUCAGCAUAAGCCCUGUUUAUUGAACAAGAAAGAAAACUGCCCAUUUAAGAGUGAAAAUUCAUAAGCAUUAGUGUCUCUAGACAAAGAUUUCUCCUUCAAAAUAUUUUCCUUUUUUUCUUUUAAAGGAUUUCUGUCAUUUUGAUGGCCCUUUUAAAAGAAUCCGGCAAGACUUACAUUAUCAAUGGCAUGGACCAAUAAAACUUGCCAAACAAGACAAACAUAAAGGAGGAUUAUAAUGCUUAGAGAACCAUCAGCUCUAAUGUUGUAUAUUAGUUUGGCGUUAAAGUGAGACCCCCAUUAACCCCCAUAUCAUUAGUAACAUAGUAGAUGAGGUGAAGCUAAUUAAUUCAGAGGAAGGCAAAAAAACCAUCAUGCAUUGGGGUAUUUUUGAGACCUUAUUUCAAGUUGCCAUUUAGUGUGAAGAAGAAUUAGGUAACAAAAUAUAGAAUAGGAUCACUAUAAUAUCAUGAAAUAGGGUGUAGUUGACAUUUCUGAUUACAUAUUUUAAAGUUGUCACAAAUUCUGGGGGGAGGCUUCCACCAGUGCUGUCUGCCUGGAAUUAACCAAAAACCUGUUUCUGUUUCAGAUGAUACAAAUACUCUGCUAUCUAUCACGUGGCUGUAUCAGGCAGCUAUUUUAUAAAUAAACUUAUUUUUUACUCUG